GUGCUCACUUCAAUAGCAUAUAUGAGAAAAGUAGAAUAAUUCAAAAUUAGACAUGGCCUCUGAGUAAGGAUGACAUACAAACUUGUGAAACAUUCCCUAUUUUU
ensembl:snRNA U6 U6 spliceosomal RNA